GUAGGCUACACUAUGUAUUUCUGCCGUUAAAAUCGCCAGAGCAACAACAACUAGACUAUCCAGCAUGUUGGCAACACAAAAGUACCACUCAGACUAACUUCCCGGUUGGCUUGCAGCAGGAUGUGUUAUUGGCCACCAACAGAGCGUUCCCCUUGGAACGUGGCGUCACAUGAACACUAUGAAUAGGCCUGACGUUAGUAGCUGCUGAACAGCGGGUACGGGUUCGUUCGUUACCUCUCUCCGCCUCGUCCGGUUGGUUGUUGGUGUCUUCAUACAGCCUUUCAAAAUUGUUUAAUUUGUCUGAGAGAUCUUGUCGUCCAAUUGUUUGGAGAAGCCCGGACAGGAAGCCCGUGUUGUCGGCUGCCAGCUUGCCUCUCUCCGUCAGAACCUGAAACAGCUGGCGUCCGGUGGUCUUUCUUCCUGUUUGGUCAGACACGCCCAUCUGUUCAAGUCUUUAAAAGCUGCGUUGAACCAAGAUGUCUCUCUCUUCCUCGUGACCUCUCCCCUGGAAGGCGGGUGCCUUUCAGGAGCUCCUUUUCUUUCGGUUGUUUGUUUUGAGUAUGAUGAGUUCGAGUGUACUUGAGUUAAUUAUAAGUGAAGGUAACUUUAAUAAAACCUUAUGGUUCAUUUAAACUGUU